AACGAAUUUUUUUAUCAGUUAAUGUACCAAAAUGCUAUAAAAUAAUGAAAACGGUAGCAAAGAGUUGUCAAAUUUGUCGCGUUGCAAUGUAAACGUAAACUACUAUAAUUUCGAGUGACAGGUAACCUGAAAACAAAAGGAACCAUUUUCACUAAAGGUUUUUGGUUUUAUAUAUAUUUUGUAAAAUACAUUGCUCAAUCUAACAAAACACGUAAUUCCAACGCUUAUUGUGGUUUAAUAAACCAGUUAUAAAUCCUAUAAACGUGUCGAGAGUUGCGUAUUAAUUCCGAUUUAUUUUACAGCAUUUCGCCACAAGCUGAGCUGCGGCAUAGGAAACGUAUCGAGCGACAGGAGCAACUGGCAGAACGGGUCCGAGAUAUGAAAAGACGUCAGAUGGCUAACGAGCAGUGGACACAACUGAAGAGGCCUAAGACUGCGCGUCGAGACUGACACUCGAAGUUUUUUUGGAAGAACUGGGAGUAUGACACGUUUAGAUUAGUUGAAGAUAAGUUCUACGGUCUCACGUUUUAAUUGACGAGGUGCUAGUCAAUCAAAAUUGGUAUGUUAUUUAAAUGUCUUCAAUUUUAUACAUUAAUGUAAGCUGAUGACAAUUUCCGUACAUCACAAACCUUUCUAAUUGCAUCAACUCGCAUUUCAUAUUAGUACUUGUAAGCCAUUUUAAAAAUAGUGAUAUAUAUACCUCGAAGAUUAAUAAAAUUCAUAUGAUAUUAA